GACGAGGGGUCCUAGCGUUGUUCGGAAUCAUUGGGCGUAAAGCGGGUGUAGGUGGCCUUGCAAGUCAGAAGUGAAAGUCCUGGGCUUAACCCGGGAAGUGCUUUUGAAACUGCAUGGCUUGAGUGCUGGAGAGGGCAGUAGAAUUCCUGGUGUAGUGGUGAAAUACGUAGAUACCAGGAGGAACACCGGAUGGGAAGCCGGCUGCCUGGCCAGACACUGACACUCAGACCCGAAAGUGCGGGGAUCAAACAGG
rnacentral:rRNA from 1 species